rnacentral:rRNA from 1 species
ACAGCAGUCGCCGCGGUAAUACGUAGGGUGCAAGCGUCAUCCGGAAUUAUUGGGCGUAAAGAGCUCGUAGGCGGUUUGUCGCGUCUGCUGUGAAAACUGGAGGCUCAACCUCCAGCCUGCAGUGGGUACGGGCAGACUAGAGUGCGGUAGGGGAGAUUGGAAUUCCUGGUGUAGCGGUGGAAUGCGCAGAUAUCAGGAGGAACACCGAUGGCGAAGGCAGAUCUCUGAGCCGUAACUGACGCUGAGGAGCGAAAGCAUGGGGAGCGAACAGGAUUAGAUACCCGAGUAGUCCCUGUCUCUUAUAA